rnacentral:rRNA from 1 species
AAAAUCCUGACUUCGGAAGGGAUGUAUUUAUUAGAUUAAAAACCAAUGCCCUUUGGGCUCCUUGGUGAUUCAUAAUAACUUUUCGAAUCGCACGGCCUUGCGCCGGCGAUGGUUCAUUCAAAUUUCUUCCCUAUCAACUUUCGAUGUUUGGGUAUUGGCCAAACAUGGUCGCAACGGGUAACGGAGGGUUAGGGCUCGACCCCGGAGAAGGAGCCUGAGAAACGGCUACUACAUCCAAGGAAGGCAGCAGGCGCGCAAAUUACCCAAUCCCGAUUCGGGGAGGUAGUGACAAUAAAUACUGAUACAGGGCUCUUUUGGGUCUUGUAAUUGGAAUGAGUACAAUUUAAAUCUCUUAACGAGGAACAAUUGGAGGGCAAGUCUGGUGCCAGCAGCCGCGGUAAUUCCAGCUCCAAUAGCGUAUAUUAAAGUUGUUGUGGUUAAAAAGCUCGUAGUUGAACCUUGGGCCUGGCUGGCCGGUCCGCCUCACCGCGUGUACUGGUCCGGCCGGGCCUUUCCCUCUGUGGAACCUCAUGCCCUUCACUGGGUGUGGCGGGGAAACAGGACUUUUACUUUGAAAAAAUUAGAGUGCUCCAGGCAGGCCUAUGCUCGAAUACAUUAGCAUGGAAUAAUAAAAUAGGACGUGUGGUUCUAUUUUGUUGGUUUCUAGGACCGCCGUAAUGAUUAAUAGGGACAGUCGGGGGCAUCAGUAUUCAAUUGUCAGAGGUGAAAUUCUUAGAUUUAUUGAAGACUAACUACUGCGAAAGCAUUUGCCAAGGAUGUUUUCAUUAAUCAGGAACGAAAGUUAGGGGAUCGAAGACGAUCAGAUACCGUCGUAGUCUUAACCAUAAACUAUGCCGACUAGGGAUCGGACGAUGUUAUUUUUUGACGCGUUCGGCACCUUACGAGAAAUCAAAGUG